GAUGAACGCUGGCGGCGUGCCUAAUACAUGCAAGUCGAGCGAAUGGAUUAAGAGCUUGCUCUUAUGAAGUUAGCGGCGGACGGGUGAGUAACACGUGGGUAACCUGCCCAUAAGACUGGGAUAACUCCGGGAAACCGGGGCUAAUACCGGAUAACAUUUUGAACCGCAUGGUUCGAAAUUGAAAGGCGGCUUCGGCUGUCACUUAUGGAUGGACCCGCGUCGCAUUAGCUAGUUGGUGAGGUAACGGCUCACCAAGGCAACGAUGCGUAGCCGAACUGAGAGGGUGAUCGGCCACACUGGGACUGGAACACGGCCCAGACUCCUGCGGGAGGAAGCAGUAGGGAAUCUUCCGCAAUGGACGAAAGUCUGACGGAGCAACGCCGCGUGAGUGAUGAAGGCUUUCGGGUCGUAAAACUCUGUUGUUAGGGAAGAACAAGUGCUAGUUGAAUAAGCUGGCACCUUGACGGUACCUAACCAGAAAGCCACGGCUAACUACGUGCCAGCCGCCGCCGUAA
rnacentral:rRNA from 1 species